UACGAAGGGGGCGAGCGUUGUUCGGAAUUACUGGGCGUAAAGGGCGCGCAGGCGGCUCAGACAGUCAGAUGUGAAAGCCCCGGGCUUAACCUGGGAACUGCAUUUGAUACUACUGAGCUUGAGUACGGGAGAGGAUAGUGGAAUUCCCAGUGUAGAGGUGAAAUUCGUAGAUAUUGGGAAGAACACCGGUGGCGAAGGCGGCUAUCUGGACCGUAACUGACGCUGAGGCACGAAAGCGUGGGUAGCAAACAGG
rnacentral:rRNA from 1 species